CCUACGGGGGGCAGCAGUGAGGAAUAUUGGUCAAUGGCCGGAAGGCUGAACCAGCCAUGCCGCGUGAAGGUCAGUGCCCUAUGGGCGUUAAACUUCUUUUGUGCGGGAGCAAUAAUGGUCACGUGUGGCCAGACGAGAGUACCGUACGAAUAAGCAUCGGCUAACUCCGUGCCAGCAGCCGCGGUAAUACGGGGGAUGCAAGCGUUAUCCGGAGUUAUUGGGUUUAAAGGGUGCGUAGGCUGUGAGGUAAGUCAGCGGUGAAAUGCCCCCGCGCAACGGGGUGAAGUGCCAUUGAUACUGCCUUGCUGGAAUGCGGGUGCAGUGCGAGGAAUGUGUGGUGUAGCGGUGAAAUGCAUAGAUAUCACACAGAACACCGAUUGCGAAGGCAUCUCACGAAUCCGCGAUUGACGCUGAUGCACGAAAGCGUGGGUAUCGAACAGGAUUAGAUACCCGGGUAGUC
rnacentral:rRNA from 1 species